GAUGAACGCUGGCGGCGUGCCUAAUACAUGCAAGUCGAGCGAACAGAUGAGGAGCUUGCUCCUCUGACGUUAGCGGCGGACGGGUGAGUAACACGUGGAUAACCUACCUAUAAGACUGGGAUAACUUCGGGAAACCGGAGCUAAUACCGGAUAAUAUCUUGAACCGCAUGGUUCGAUAGUGAAAGACGGCUUUGCUGUCACUUAUAGAUGGAUCUGCGCCGCAUUAGCUAGUUGGUAAGGUAACGGCUUACCAAGGCAACGAUGCGUAGCCGACCUGAGAGGGUGAUCGGCCACACUGGAACUGAGACACGGUCCAGACUCCUACGGGAGGCAGCAGUAGGGAAUCUUCCGCAAUGGGCGAAAGCCUGACGGAGCAACGCCGCGUGAGUGAUGAAGGUCUUCGGAUCGUAAAACUCUGUUAUUAGGGAAGAACAAAUGUGUAAGUAACUAUGCACGUCUUGACGGUACCUAAUCAGAAAGCCACGGCUAACUACGUG
rnacentral:rRNA from 1 species